UGACUCACCCAGUGUAGUGUUUUGUAAGGUUCUAAAUUAUAAGCUUCUGGUUUCUCUCCCUGAUUAAAAGGCCUUUAAAUGCCCAAUGGGCAGCCUUUUCAGUUUCUUCUUGACCAAACGGGACAAUUGAUGUGAAUUCCAACUUGUGUGGUGCUUUUUUUUUUCUCAGGGGAAGUUGGAGGAUGGGAGAGAGAUUGCGGUGAAGAAGUUGUCACAAAGUUCAAAUCAAGGAAAGAAAGAGUUUAUGAACGAGGCCAAGUUGUUAGCUCGUGUGCAGCACCGCAAUGUGGUGAAUUUGUUGGGCUAUUGUGCACAUGGGGUGGAGAAACUACUUGUGUAUGAGUAUGUCGCAAAUGAGAGCCUUGACAAGCUUCUCUUCAGAUUUUGGAUAGAUUGCUUUAGUUGUCAAGAUGGAACUUAUUCGAACCCCCAAUUCCAUCAAAUUUCCUGAUAUGUCUGUCAAAAUUGUAUGGAAAUUUGUUCUGGCCAGCAUUGCUUUACAUAUGCUGAAAUUUGGUGAAACUUGCUUUGCAUAUGCAAAGAAUGAUUCUUACAAAAUUAAUAGUCAUUUGGAAUUAUAGGGAUGCCUUGUUUUUUAGGCCAAUGUUCCGCUACAUUGGAGAAUCGAGAUA